rnacentral:rRNA from 1 species
GAUGAACGCUGGCGGCGUGCUUAACACAUGCAAGUCGAACGGAAAGGCUCCUGCUUGCAGGGGGACUCGAGUGGCGAACGGGUGAGUAACACGUGGGUGAUCUGCCCUGCACUUCGGGAUAAGCCUGGGAAACUGGGUAUAAUACCGGAGAGGACGAUGGGUUGGAUGCCAUUGUGGAAAGUUUUUCGGUGUGGGGUGAGCUCGCGGCCUAUCAGCAGGUUGGUGGGGUAAUGGUCUACCAAGGCGUCGACGGGUAGCCGGCCUCUGAGGGUGUACGGCCACCUUGGGACUGACAUACGGCCCCGACUCCUACGUGUGGCAGCAGUGGGGAAUAUUGCACAAUGGGCGCAAGCCUGAUGCAGCGACGCCGCGUGGGGGAUGACGGUCUUCGGCUUGUAAACUCCUUUCGCUAGGGACGAAGCGUUUUGUGACGGUACCUGGAGAAGAAGCACCGGCUGACUACGUG